rnacentral:rRNA from 1 species
AGCAGCCGCGGUAAUUCCAGCUCCAAUAGCGUAUAUUAAAGUUGUUGCAGUUAAAAAGCUCGUAGUUGAAUUUCGGGGUUAGUAAGCUGGUCGUGCCACUGGUAUGUACUGGUUUUACUGAUCUCUCCUUCUUGUAGAACCGUAAUGCCAUUAAUUUGGUGUUGCGGGAAAACAGGACUGUUACUUUGAAAAAUUAGAGUGUUUAAAGCAGGCUAACGCUUGAAUACAUUAGCAUGGAAUAAUGAAAUAGGACGUUCGAUCCUAUUUUGUUGGUUUCUAGGAUUGACGUAAUGAUUAAUAGGGAUAGUUGGGGGCAUUAGUAUUCAAUUGUCAGAGGUGAAAUUCUUGGAUUUAUUGAAGACUAACUACUGCGAAAGCAUUUGCCAAGGAUGUUUUCAUUAAUCAAGAACGAAAGUUAGGGGAUCGAAGACGAUCAGAUACCGUCGUAGU